GAUGAACGCUGGCGGCGUGCCUAACACAUGCAAGUCGAGCGAUCUUCUUCGGAAGAGAGCGGCGGACGGGUGAGUAACGCGUGGGUAACCUGCCCUGUACACACGGAUAACAUACCGAAAGGUAUGCUAAUACGAGAUAAUAUGCUUUUAUCGCAUGGUAGAAGUAUCAAAGCUUUUGCGGUACAGGAUGGACCCGCGUCUGAUUAGCUAGUUGGUAGGGUAACGGCUUACCAAGGCGACGAUCAGUAGCCGACCUGAGAGGGUGAUCGGCCACAUUGGAACUGAGAAACGGUCCAAACUCCUACGGGAGGCAGCAGUGGGGAAUAUCGCACAAUGGGCGAAAGCCUGAUGCAGCAACGCCGCGUGAGCGAUGAAGGCCUUCGGGUCGUAAAGCUCUGUCCUCAAGGAAGAUAAUGACGGUACUUGAGGAGGAAGCUCCGGCUAACUACGUGCCAGCCGCCGCCGUAACAC
rnacentral:rRNA from 1 species